rnacentral:tRNA from 1 species
GCGUCAGUUGGUUCAUCUAAAAGGCCUUCAGGACGUGGUGACGACGGCCUUGAGGAAGCCGUCGGGCCGCCGGCGCGCGAGUUCGAGCGCCUCGCCCAGACGCGCCA